rnacentral:rRNA from 1 species
GACGAACGCUGGCGGCGUGCCUAAUACAUGCAAGUCGAGCGAAUCUCAGGGAGCUUGCUCCCUGAGAUUAGCGGCGGACGGGUGAGUAACACGUGGGUAACCUGCCUGUAAGACUGGGAUAACUUCGGGAAACCGGAGCUAAUACCGGAUACUUUCUUUUCUCGCAUGAGGGAAGAUGGAAAGAUGGUUCUGCUAUCACUUACAGAUGGACCCGCGGCGCAUUAGCUAGUUGGUGAGGUAACGGCUCACCAAGGCGACGAUGCGUAGCCGACCUGAGAGGGUGAUCGGCCACACUGGGACUGAGACACGGCCCAGACUCCUACGGGAGGCAGCAGUAGGGAAUCUUCCGCAAUGGACGAAAGUCUGACGGAGCAACGCCGCGUGAGCGAAGAAGGCCUUCGGGUCGUAAAGCUCUGUUGUUAGGGAAGAACAAGUACGAGAGUAACUGCUCGUACCUUGACGGUACCUAACCAGAAAGCCACGGCUAACUACGUGCCAGCCGCCGCAGUAAGAC